CUAUGGGAUAAAGGAGGAAGACUUCUUACUUCGGCCUCAACGACCACCAGGAGGUAGAAAACGACCCCCUAACAACAACUGAAGCAUGCGCAGAGUACCUCCACUACUUCAUGAACACGGAAGUAAAGAUGUAUAAAAAGGGACUGUUUGAACUGCUCAGCACGGCAGUGGCGGAGCGCAGACUCCCCUGUCGUCCAGCGCUGUUUUUGCUCAUAUUCUACUUGCUAUAAUUAAUAAAAUUUUAAUUGGAUUAUGAUCCGUUGUGGUCACCAUUUAUGACAUGGUGGUAGAGAAAGGGGGACAAUUUCUGCUGCAAAUUGGUGGGUUAUCACCUAUAAGGGAAGGAGAAAAGGAGCCUGAGAAGGCCAGUGGAAUGUGAUUGUACUGUGGCUUUGGAAAAGGCAAAUGGGAUCCUAUUUGCAUCUGGCAAAGGACUUCCACUGGGAAAAAGGAAAUGCUGCUGCUGUGAAAGGCCCUGGUGAGAUAAAAAAUACGGAGUGCAGUUCUGGGCACUCGGGGUGAAGAAAUACUCAUUCAAGUUGGAAGUGAGAGGCAGAAGUUGGGGAUAUGGACAGAGCCUUAUUUAUAUAAGCAGAGCCUGUUCCGUCUGACAAAGCAAAGCUUGAAACUGAAUCCAGUCACCGCCAAACUUCUGCGGGAAGACGCUCAGUUCUUGCCGUUGGGAAGCGGGGGGAGCGGAGGCACAACCACCGUGUGACUCGCAGCAGGCUGGAGCUGGGGGGGCGGCUCCAGUCCCUCGGAGCACCGCGGGUUCGAGCGCGCCUUUCUGCAGACGCAGGCGGGACGGGCACGUGCUCGCGUGCAGCCAACGCUUGACCCACCUGGACGUUUCUCCGGACGUCCCGGCCCCGCUGGCCGCUGCCGCAGCAGUCUGGAUCGGGCGCCGGGGCCGGGAGGGGGUUCCCGGCCCAUCCGGGUCCCGCGCCGCUGCUGGCAGCCGCGGCCCCUGCCGGCCUCGCCGCGCUGCCAUUGCGCCGCCGCCGCCUU
rnacentral:lncRNA from 1 species